rnacentral:rRNA from 1 species
GAUGAACGCUGGCGGCGUGCCUAACACAUGCAAGUCGAACGGAGUCCAGCCUUUAAGACCUUCGGGUCAAAGGGGGGAAGACUGAGUGGCGGACGGGGGAGUAACACGUGGGGAACCUGGCUCAUAGAGGGGGAUAACAGAGAGAAAUUUCUGCUAAUACCGCAUAAGCACACACUGCCGCAUGGCAGAGGGGGAAAAGAGAAUCGCUAUGAGAUGGACCCGCGUCUGAUUAGCCAGUUGGCAGGGUAAGAGCCUACCAAAGCGACGAUCAGUAGCCGAUCUGAGAGGAUGAACGGCCACAUUGGGACUGAGACACGGCCCAAACUCCUACGGGAGGCAGCAGUGGGGGAUAUUGCACAAUGGGGGGAACCCUGAUGCAGCGACGCCGCGUGAGUGAAGAAGUAUUUCGGUAUGUAAAGCUCUAUCAGCAGGGAAGAUAAUGACAGUACCUGAAUAAGAAGCCCCGGCUAACUACGUG